rnacentral:rRNA from 1 species
AUGGAUGUUAAGACUGCUUUCCUGAAUGGAGAGUUGGAUGAGGAAAUUUAUAUGGAACAACCAGAUGGGUUUGUAAUAGAUGGUCAGGAAGGGAAAGUGUGCAAGUUGCUGAAGUCUUUGUACGGACUCAAGAAAGCACCCAAACAGUGGCAUGAGAAGUUCGAAAGAACUUUAACAGCUGCAGGCUUUGUUGUGAACGAAGCUGACAAAUGUGUGUACUAUCGCCAUGGUGGGGGCGAGGGAGUUAUGCUUUGCUUGUAUGUUGAUGACAUACUGAUUUUUGGAACAAAUCUGAAUGUUAUUAAGGAGGUCAAGGAUUUCCUAUCUCGCUGUUUUGAGAUGAAAGAUUUAGGAGUGGCUGAUGUCAUUCUGAACAUCAAGUUGUUGAGAGAUGAUGAUGGUGGGAUUACAUUGCUUCAAUCUCACUAUGCUGAUGAGAUAAAGGCCACGAGCGGAUAUGUGUUCACUCAUGGAGGUGGCGCUGUUUCUUGGAAGUCUUGCAAGCAGACCAUCUUAACGAGGUCAACUAUGGAAGCAGAACUCACAGCACUAGAUACAGCUACGGUCGAAGCAGAUUGGCUUCACCGACUCUUGAAUGAUUUGCCGGUUGUUGAGAAACCUGUACCGGGUAUCCUUAUGAACUGUGACAAUCAAACUGUGAUCAUGAAAGUGAACAGCUCUAAGGAUAACAUGAAGUCAUCAAUACACGUUCAGAGAAGGUUAAAGUCUGUCAGGAAAAUGAGAAACUCCGGAGUUAUUGCAUUGGAUUAUAUCCAACGUCUAAAAAUCUGGCAGAUCCUUUCACUAAGGGUCUAUCACGUAAUGUGA